GGAGAGGUAGCGUAGUCUGGCCUAACGCGCGCGCCUGGAGAGCGCGUGUACCGCAAGGUACCGCGGGUUCGAAUCCCGCCCUCUCCGCCA
rnacentral:tRNA from 2 species